CCGACGGCCAUGUUUUGCAGUGAAACGGUAGGCAUUCGAGGGCGGAUGUCGGCGAACAUUCGUAUCGCCGAGAUCAACAACUCUCUCCGAGGGUUUCCACGGGAUCCUCCUCUGCUUGAAGGCUGCAUCGCCAGAUUCGCAUCCAUCUACGGUGGGGUAGAUUGGCGUUGCUUUCGGGACGUGGUUGACAUGGCCUUCUUGCUCUUAGCUUCACCCCCUCAAAGUACAUUCAUACCCCUUGAGGAAUCAAAGCCACCUGUCCCAAACAUGCUACGUUGCGCGCGCCCUCGUCUCCUACGUGUCUUAAAACGCCUCCCUUCUCCUCCUCUUGUGCACACCCCACCCGGUUCUCCCUUCUUUCGUUCUGCUGGAGCGAGAAGAGGUGGACGACCAACCCAGGGCACCACAAGAGAUGGCGGAGCUACAAGACGCAGAAUCGAGUCCUUCCCGAUACGAUUACUUUCACCGCCACCAGAAACAAGGACAGCGACAAGAACAGCAGCACCUCAGUGGCACCCAAAUCCUCUUCGGUGCCGCUGCCAGCCUCGCCUUGGGAGGGCCACUUCUUGGGACGAUGGGAUGCGACCUCUUAGCCUCUACCAUUCUCCUCCUCGUCGCCGCCCCUCUUCUGCUGCUCUUAAGCCCGGUCCUUCUGACGGCGGCCUUCGUCGUCGUCGCAUCGGUGGUCGGCUUCGGCUUGUCGGCGGUGAUGGCGUUGCUUGGGCUCUCUGCCUUCCGAUGGGCUCUCCGUUGCGUUCGCCAAGGCGGGCCGUACGAUGUUGCCAAGAUCGUGGAUAUGCUGACACUGUCCGGUUAUAGAGUGAAGGAGAAAUCUCCCAACUUUGAAGAACACCACGGGCAGUAUGUUAGCUAUGUAAUCCCAAGUGAGAAGGGAAUAAAUGGAGGAAUGUGAUGAGAUAUAUAUAUAUAUAUAUAUAUAUAUAUAUCUCUCUCCAAGGGGUACACCAAGGACAAUAAUGAUGUGGAUGGAAGAAAGGAGAGACGAGCUUGUUGAGGACUGCGUUUUAAAGAUGUAUUAGCGUGUGUUUAAGUUCCUUCCUCGUAAUAAAGUUUGCAAUCUGAGAUUUGCCAUC